AUACAAGAUAUGCACAAAUGCGGACUUAUAUGGGACAAAAUGUGACACGUGCCCCUAAAAGAAAAAAAACUCUGAAUAGCAGUAUAGUGCCGACAUUCCUCUAUCCCUAACCCUUACUCAAAUGAAACUGUAGAAUACUAAAACCCUAGAAGUUCCACGACCCACCUCGGCCAAUGCUGCCGCAUGCAUCCUCUGUCGUGCUUGCGCUUGUCUUGCCAACUCAUCAAGUCCCAUGGUCCAUCCACUGCCGCUUCGGAAUUUAGCUAUUUCAUUUUCAUGGGUCUUGAGCUGUUGACACACCACCACCAUGAUGCCGUUCGCCUGCACCGCUGCACGCCACUAGUCAAGCGCACCACCUUCAAUUGACUCUAAAUCUCCAAUUUAGAAUCUGCUCUUCUUGCUAUGAAUGCAAUGGUAAACAUUAUUCUAAAUUUGCCUCUUGGAUCUCCCGACUGCAAUAUCAAUAUCUUUUGAGCUUUUGGCAUUAGAAACCGGAGGGGCGACCUUUGGAACUGAAUAUGGCUGCAGAAAGAUCUCGUUCUAGCACGGAUGCUUAUGCCGAGCAGAAUGCGUGAUAAGAAACAAAGAAUGAUAUCCAUUUGACAAAAUGAGCAAAAAUGACAAUUGAAAAAACAAUGUCAGAACAAACAACAGUGUUUCUGAUCUUAUAUAUCAUCACUUACCAUCACUUGGUAUUGAGUUGCAAAAUCCUGAAGGCCAAUAGAGAACCAUUUUUACCGUUACUUGUGUCAGGUUAGAAUUAUUCAUGAUUGUGAACGUAUCACAUCAGAUUUGUUCCAAUAAAUAACGAUCGAAAACAAAAGUACAGCAGGUGGGAACUCAUUGUUCAUCUA